rnacentral:rRNA from 1 species
GCAAAAACGUUCCGUAGGUGAACCUGCGGAAGGAUCAUUA